rnacentral:rRNA from 1 species
CGGAUGAACGCUAGCGGUAGGCUUAACACAUGCAAGUCGAGGGGCAGCACGAGUAGCAAUACUUGGUGGCGACCGGCGGACGGGUGAGUAACGCGUAUGCAACCUACCUAUAACUGGAGGAUAGCCCUCUGAAAAGGGGAUUAAUAUUCCAUAAUGUUCAGGAUUCGCAUGAAUUUUGGACUAAAGCUCCGGCGGUUAUAGAUGGGCAUGCGUGACAUUAGCUAGUUGGUGAGGUAACUGCUCACCAAGGCUACGAUGUCUAGGGGGUCGUUAAAGGAUGAUCCCCCACCACUGGUACUGAGACACGGACCAGACUCCUACGGGAGGCAGCAGUGAGGAAUAUUGGUCAAUGGGCGGAAGCCUGAACCAGCCAUGCCGCGUGCGGGAUGAAGGCCCUACGGGUUGUAAACCGCCUUUUCCCCGGGUAACGAAUAACCCCGAUCGAGGUCGGGGAUGCCGGUACCGGGGGAAUAAGGAUCGGCUAACUCCGUG